UACAUGAAAACCUGCAGGAAUGUGGGACAUAUUGUAUGUCUGAGGUGCAGUGAAGCCCGGGCAAAAUUUCUUUAUGAUCCAUUUUCAGACCAGCAUUGGCAAUUUGAUUCAUUUUGCUCCAGAAGGUUGUGGUGCUGCAAGGAAAUAGGCUGGGAAUUUGCAUCCCCAGCUCUCACUUGAUCCUUGACAGAGGAUGGAGCCCCAAAAUUUCUCUGCUCUCCAUACCAUUGACAAGUACAACAAUGUGACACCAUUGCUAAGGUUCUAGAAGUCUUGAGCCCAGCCAGAUUUACAAGGUAAGUCUGCCUUGGCUUUUUCUGCAAUGUUUUAUGCUCAAGGAGGAGCGUGAGAGGUUGUCAAGCUAGAAAAGGAACAGGGAAAUGACAGAGCGGUAAUACACAUUCAGUAAAACAUCUGACAGAUGUGAGUGACAAGUGUCUAUUGUGAUGCGAGGUCACAGCACCAGUCAAAUGGAUUGAAAUGCGGGGAAAAUGAGGUUUGUCUGACAAUGCAGUUUGUUCAGAGCCCUGUAUAUAUAAGUGCUCUGUCUGCAAACAAUGUAAAGGGCAGCUGGCUAGCAGCUGUGGUCAGGGCACCUCAGUCUGUUUCUGAGAUUCCCCAGAGCCCCCACAGCAGUUAGAGAGCAACUUUAGCCCCUCAGGCAUUCAAUGCUUGGCCUGUUCUAGGAGAACAGGGUUCCUUAGGGUGCUUUCUGUGAUGUGGAUAAUACAAGACAUAAAGAAAUUAAAGGUGAGAAUGUUGGCAGUACCGCAAGCAGAGAGUGCCUGGUCAGGACAGUGUUGUGAAUCAGCCUUCCCAUCAAUAAAGGCAAACCUUGUGCAUAUGUAACUCAUGCUGUUGCUGUAGAGCCAGUGUCAUUUGCUCCUCUGCUUUCAAAAGCAGAUGUCCAUCCUCCUGGAGUGCAUGAGUGGUACGCAGCUCUCGGAUCAGUUCCAGCUGCUUCUCUUUCCCUUCAAACAUCUUUAAAAUAAAGUAAAACAAGCGAGCAUAUUAAAUGGAGAAUAUGCAUCAACACGUUUUGCCCUUUUUAUCCAAGAUGCGAAGUCAGCUGUUUCCAAAACCUAGCUCUCUGUAACGAACCUGUGGCUGCAUUUAUGCAAACACUACAGCUGUCAGGUAAAUCUUGCCUAAGCCCUCCUGCAUGGAAGAUGAAAGUUGAGACCUUCUGCUGUGGAAUAUAGAUGAUCCCUUGCUACUUUAUUAUUUUUAUUUCUUUUUAAUUCUGUUUGGCUUCACCCAGAACUCAAACCACUGGAAUGCACAACAGCAACACCCAUGUCAAGUGCAAAGGGCAAUAGCCUUCUGGAUAUCCUGUUACAUCAGCCUCAGUGUCAAAGUUUCCCAGUGUGAGCAUUGCCCCCUUUCCUCAGUCCAGCAUUAGAUGUCUCCUGUUUCAGUAUCUACUGUUCUCUGACCUUCGUUUUCAGGGAGUCCAGCAACAGUUCAAAGCAAUAAAUUGGUGUGGAGGUUCUUAAAACUGCUGCUGUUCUCGGGCUAUGUGCCCCAGCCCUUCCCUGACACUGUCAUUCCCACUCUCUUCCAACAGGACUUCCAACAGCAACAAAGGAUCACUCAACCCUGCUGACAUCAUUUUCCAAGUCAUGUAUUUCUGAUCCAGUAGUAGCUGGAAGGAGAUUCCUAAAGUGCUGGGAUGUUUCAUGAUGUGAAAACAACAGUCCUGCAAUGGCAUCAAACAUGUUUCUUAUGCGUCACCACAGAACUGGAGAAGACUUGGGAAGUCCUUAUUCCACCUCAAGCCACUUUCACAGUAUUGCAUUGUUUGCUAAAGCUCCGGGUCAGGGUCUGCCAUGGGAACACUUCACAAACAUUAAAUAAUUAGUGCAAGAGAGGCUAUCAGUUAUAUUCUCAGCAGGCAUGAGAACAAGCAUUCUGGACUGGUCUGAUCAAAAGUUAUAGAGUUGCUUAACAUAAAGCCCAUGAAGCAUGGCUACUCAAUUAACUUUUACCUAGACCCCCUUCUGCUCCACUGAAAGCAGAAUGACAGGUCCUGCAUUUGCUGGAAAUCAUGGUGGUAUGCUUCAAUUGCUCCUCAUCUAAGGUUCAGUUCACCAUCACAGGAAAGUGGAAAGAUGGUGUUGAAGAUUAAGUUUUCCUGCCUUUCCCCAUCACCACCCAGGAGGAGCAAAACAGAACUAGCCCAUGGACUACCAUACAAUUUGGUAUGUUCUUUUUCACUGGAAAGAAGGGAUGAAUUUCCAGUCCAGUUAGAGAGCUAAACAGUAACACACCACCUGGCUCCAGUGUGAAAUCCCUUCAGGACAAAGCUUUGGAUACAGAGAUAGCAAUAUACUGGACAGGCUUGUGGCUUCUAUUUCUUACUGCACAUCAACUGAAAAACCGAAUAUGGUCAGUAGCUGAGGGUAUUGGAUGGUCAGAAGAUACUGAUGGGAACGUCAAAAUCAUAUGUAAGAAGGAAGCAAGAAUUAUUUUACUAUAUUUCCAAGUAAGUCAUCAG